AGUGAACGCUGGCGGUAGGCCUAACACAUGCAAGUCGAACGGCAGCACAGUAAGAGCUUGCUCUUACGGGUUGCGAGUGGCGGACGGGUGAGGAAUACAUCGGAAUCUACUUUUUCUUGGGUGAUAACGUAGGGAAACUUACGCUAAUACCGCAUACGACCUACGGGUGAAAGCAGGGGAUCUUCGGACCUUGCGCGAUUGAAUGAGCCGAUGUCGGAUUAGCUAGUUGGCGGGGUAAAGGCCCACCAAGGCGACGAUCCGUAGCUGGUCUGAGAGGAUGAUCAGCCAGACUGGAACUGAGACAGGGUGCAGACUCCGACGGUAGGAAGCAGUGGGGAAUAUUGGAGAAUGGGGGCAAGCCUGAUACAGCAAUACCGCGUGAGUGAAGAAGGACUUCGGGUUGUAAAGCCAUUUUGUUGGGAAAGAAAAGCAGCAGGAUAAGAACCCGAUGUUCUGACGGUACCCAAAGAAUAAGCACCGGCUAACUUCGUG
rnacentral:rRNA from 1 species